UACGGAGGGUGCGAGCGUUGUCCGGAAUCACUGGGCGUAAAGGGCGCGUAGGCGGCCUGAUAAGUAGGGGGUGAAAUCCUGCGGCUUAACCGCAGGGCUGCCUUCUAAACUGUCAGGCUCGAGCACAGUAGAGGCAGGUGGAAUUCCCGGUGUAGCGGUGGAAUGCGUAGAGAUCGGGAAGAACAUCAGUGGCGAAGGCGGCGACCUGGGUAGAUACUGACGCUGAGGCGCGAAAGCGUGGGGAGCAAACAGG
rnacentral:rRNA from 1 species